rnacentral:rRNA from 1 species
UACGUAGGGCGCAAGCGUUGUCCGGAAUUAUUGGGCGUAAAGAGCUCGUAGGCGGCUUGUCACGUCGAUUGUGAAAGCCCGAGGCUUAACCUCGGGUCUGCAGUCGAUACGGGCUAGCUAGAGUGUGGUAGGGGAGAUCGGAAUUCCUGGUGUAGCGGUGAAAUGCGCAGAUAUCAGGAGGAACACCGGUGGCGAAGGCGGAUCUCUGGCCAUUACUGACGCUGAGGAGCGAAAGCGUGGGGAGCGAACAGG